rnacentral:rRNA from 1 species
GACAGAGGUGCCGAGCGUUGUUCGGAUUUACUGGGCUUGAAGCGCAGGUAGGCGGACGAGUCGGUCGGGUGUGAAAUACCCUGGCUCAACCAGGGAACUGCAUUCGAUACCGCUCGUCUUGAGGCAGGUAGAGGCCAGUGGAAUUCCCGGUGGAGCGGUGAAAUGCGUAGAUAUCGGGAAGAACGCCUGAGGUGAAAACGGCUGGCUGGGCCUGUCCUGACGCUGAGCUGCGAAAGCCAGGGGAG